rnacentral:rRNA from 1 species
UGAACGCUGGCGGCGUGCCUAACACAUGCAAGUCGAGCGAUCUCUCGGAGAAGAGCGGCGGACGGGUGAGUAACGCGUGGGUAACCUGCCUCAUACACAUGGAUAACAUACCGAAAGGUAUGCUAAUACAGGAUAACAUAAGAGAUUCACAUGGAUUUCUUAUCAAAGCUCCGGCGGUAUGAGAUGGACCCGCGUCUGAUUAGCUAGUUGGUAAGGUAACGGCUUACCAAGGCGACGAUCAGUAGCCGACCUGAGAGGGUGAUCGGCCACAUUGGAACUGAGACACGGUCCAAACUCCUACGGGAGGCAGCAGUGGGGAAUAUUGCACAAUGGGCGAAAGCCUGAUGCCAGCAACGCCGCGUGAGUGAUGAAGGCUUUCGGGUCGUAAAACUCUGUCCUCAAGGAAGAUAAUGACGGUACUUGAGGAGGAAGCCCCGGCUAACUACGUGCCAGCAGCCGC